rnacentral:lncRNA from 1 species
GGAAUGCAGAGCCAUAGUUGGAUGCCAAGAUCUGCUCCUUCCUCUGUCUGGCAAGCUCUACUGACCCCUGAGGUCGUUCCCAUGCUUGCAGAGGUUCAGUGGGCUUGGUGUUGGUUGUCGCUUGUGCUCACCUUGCUAUCACCGGGUGUUCUUCCUUUGCCCAUCAUAGGGGACCCCUGUUCUGAUGGGAUCUCUGUGCCUUCUGCUGAUCCCAGAGGACAUGGGUUUGUUCUCUUAUAUCCAGUAACCCGAAUGUAGUCUAGUAAGGUUUGCUCAAGUGAGAUGGAAAACGAAGAGGCAGUCUCCAAAACAGGCUCGCG